GAGGCAGGUGCUGGAACCACUGAGCUGAAUCCCCAGCCCCAAAAAGUGUACUACUCUUAAUCUUGCCUCUUUGAUGCCUCCCAGACCUAUGCAAGCAGCCAGAAUAUCAGUGACCUGCUAAUCCAAGACCUUGAGAAGGCAGCUUGAGACAUCCAUCAUCCUGGAGACAGACCAGGAUUUGUAACAGAAGGACUGUCAAAAAGCAAGAACAAGGUAAUAUUUCUCUUUUGGUAUGUAAAAUGGAAUUAUCCAGAAAGAAAAAACUAGGAAUGUCUUCAAAGAUUUCUAAAUGUCUUUAAUAUUCCCCUUUAGCAGACAAUGACAAUGAAGCCUGAUUGGACCAGUAUUCUGUAUCCUCCUGCCAUGUGGAGAAAGCACCCUGGUCCUCUAUUAAGGCAUUCCUAAGAAAUAGGGUGAAAGAUGGAGGGUAUGAUGACCUUUGGGGCCUAUGAGAUAGGGAGGUGUGGGGAGAAGGUGAGAAACAGGGAGGGAAAGAGGGACAGAGAGAGAAGGGAGAGAAUCAGUGUAGAUUAUGUAUUCCCCCAGCUUUGGUCCAACAAUUAGAGAGGCACCGUGGUGUAGAGGGGACACUUGUCCUUCUUCCCACUUCAGACCCUGUUAAAGGGACAGUCAUCCCACCCUGGGCUGUGACCAUAUCCAGAUGGCAGUGUGGUGUGGCCAGGCAAAGGAAGCCUCAAGGUUUAGCCUUCUUGAGCCAUCCGUAUCUCCAGAGAGGCACAGAUAAGCCAGAAUACAGUGGGAGAUUGCCAGGGACAAAGAUAGCCAUGACUGAAAGGCUUCUAAAAUAUUCUAACUUGUAAAUAUGUGACAAAAACUUAGGCUGAUUAAUUAUCCACCGAAAUCUACAGUAAAGAAACUAUCCCAUGUUUUCUUCUUUAAAAUUGUAAACACUGGCAAAAUACAGAAAACCAUGAGUUAGUGGGAGAAAAGUUAUAGACAAAACCAAGGAGCCAUGUGUGCUUGGUCAGUCUGAAUUGGCUUUUCUUUUUUGCAGUACUGGGGAUUGAACUCAGAGACACUUACCACCGAGCUAUGUCCCCAGCCCUUUUUAUUUUUUAUUUUGACACAGUAUCUCACUAAGUGGCUGAGUUGCUCAGACUGGGCUCGAACUUGUGAUCUUUCUGCCUCAGCCCCCUAGAGUGUUGGGAUUACAUGGUGCAUGUCUGGCCUAGUGAACUUUGGUAGAAGUUGAACGCUGCCACACUGGUUUCCACCAUCUCUCGUCAACCCUGGUGGAGCCAGGAAUCACAGUUAGCAGGAGGGUGAGGAGAUGUGGACAUAUCAAGCAGAAGAGGAGGGAGUGACCAGGGCUCCACCUGCUCUCCAGGAAAGAAAGCUUCUUGCUUUCAGCAGGCUCCUAUGGAUGGGGCAUGAUGGCCAGGCUCUCAUCAUCCCAUGGGACUUCUAGUGACUAAACUGGGAUUAUAUUUGUGGCUUACAAAGAGUAUAGGACAUUUUUCUCUUAAAUCACGUAAGUGUGAGCUCAUGAGGGCUGUCACAGUUUUCAUCUAGAGAUACUGGAGGAUUUUUUUCCCACUGAAUAUAUUUUAAAGGCACACCUCCUGUGAGUGCAAUUUGUUCACAAUACCAGUUAUACCAUAGGACAGUUCUUAUGUAAUAAUAUUGGCUGAAAAAGCAAUACUUAGAUGACUUAUCUAAUAAGACACAGCUAUGUGAAAAGAUGGGAAGACAAGGAGGUGAAGGUGGAGUGAGGGAGGGGAGAGAAAGAGAGAUUAGGCCUGAGACAGAAGGCCUAAAGACAGCAUUGUCUUCCAGCCCCUCAGCCAUCCCUCAUUUGCACCUACUGUGUGGUCUGGUGGCUUCCUUCUCAGUACAGUAACAAUUUUGCAGGAGUAUUAGUUUAUAUGUCUCUGAUUGAAAGUAAACUGCUAGAGGAAAAGAACAGUGUCUUUAUUUAGCCUUCUCUCUAGGGCCCAGAACAGAGAAUAAAUUUAGUUAAACAUAAAAGGAGACACUAUUGAAGCAAACAGGGAAUGCAGGAAACAGGUCAAAUGCUUUGCCUGAAUCCCCUGAACUGUUGCCCUCUCUCUCCCUUCUCUUUACUCCUUGAACAUUUUCCUUGCCUUUCAAAAUGCCCCCAGCCUCGCAUUAGUUAGCGGUGUGCUCAUAUUAAUCAUCAGUAUAUGAUUUGAGGAUUGGGUCCAUGUAACAGUGAUAAUUAUAGCUAUAAUUAUCUGGUACUUUCUAUAUGCCAGGCAGGACUGCAUAUUAGUCUAUACCUAUCUUUUUACAAGACAGAUUCUGAUCCUGUAGGCUGGGCUGGACCUAAGUUGCUGCAUUCCUAAAAGAUUGAUGCCAAUGCUGCUGGUCCCAGGACACACUGGGAAUAGCAAAAUGCAAAGGACUUUAACUCAUUUAAUUCUUAAACCAAUCCAGCGAAGCACUCAUCGAGUUUUGCAAUAAGAUCCUCUGAGGGUCAGAGCAGGUAAGUGAGGGUCACACAUGUAUUCAUGACACUGGGUUCAGACUUAGUGCUGUCUAACUUAAAAGUAUGAGACCUUUCCAAAGUGCUAUAACUUGUCAAGAGGUUUCUUUUAGGAGCUUAUCAAGGUUGGACCCUGGGAAGACAAGAGAGAGAAAACUGUGUUUCUGAAGAUGAGCUCUGCUGUUAUUAAAGGAAGUCCUGCUGUUGGCUGGCUUGGUCUCUCUGAGCCCCAGCGGUGACUGUGGGCACGGUUCGCUCCCUCUCUGGGCUGCAGUUCUUCCAUCUGUUUAUUUUAGCUGAACAGAGAAUAAAGAGGCCUCAGGGAGGCACCCUCAGAACACUGAGACUGAAAUGAAAAAGAUGAAAUUCAUCUCAUAAAACUUGAUCAGCAAUAAGAUGAGUCAUGUCACAGACAGGACCAAAGAAGGAAGAGCAGAGACCAGCAGAAAGGACUGUAAGUUCAACUGUGCUGCCUGCCUGACCCAGAGACCUGUUUGCUGGUGGACCCCAGGGCCAGCAUGCCUGCUGAUAUCCCUGUGUGCUUUUCUGGUUUGUUUUGGGGGGACCUGGCAAGAUGGAGGGCAGAGUCUCUGGGACCUCCAGAGCCUUUGCAAAAGGAUAGAGCAAAAAGCAGGGUGCUUUGUGGAGAACAAUCUUCUCCUCACUCCUAGAGUUGAGCCUAGGUAUGGUAAUGAGACCAGAGAGAGGGCCUGAGUGCUAGAUGGGUUCUAGUGUCCGCUGCUGCCACAUACAAGGAGCACCUACUCUGUGCAAGUAUCACACUCAGAGCCAGCCUGCUGGGAGAGGCAGGCUCACACAUCCACCUCCAGGGCUUUUGGCUCUAGCCACAUGAAAAGAAUGAAGUGGAUCACCGCUGAGCAUGUGCUCCAUACAAGGGAUUGUACUGUUUCUCUUUUAUUUGUAGAGAAAUAUGAGGUGCUUGUUCAUGGCUACAGAGUUAGAAGGAGGUUAAGUCAACACUCAGGCCCAGGUUGGUCUUUCUUCAAGUUCACCUUCUUCCCAUUUUGCUCAGUAAGAUCAGCUUUGGAGGCAUGGAGUCACUUUUCCAAGUCUCUAGAGGCCCGCAGGACAGACUCGGAGGAGGAUGGACAUCUCAGAAAGGAUGUGGAGCCUUCUCCAUCAGUCCAACUGGCAUGGCUCCUAUAGCCUGCAAGCCUUCCAGGGGACCAGAAAAACAAAAACAAAAGAACAACAAAAAACAAACCUUGAACAUUUAGAGUCAGAGAAAAUGUUUGAAUUUUUUUCUUACCUCAGAAAAAUAAAAAAUUUUAAGAGCUGUGGAAAUCUAUUAAAUUUGCCUAAAAUAGGAUAACAACACUCAAGGUAUUUAAAAUUAUACCAAUAAUAAUUUUUAAAUAAUGAUGCUAUUAUGGUUUGUAUGGUGGGAGGGACCCACAAAGAUAAAAGUGUGUGGGAUGGAGGUGGAGACAUAGCCGUGUGUGAUGGGUGGGUGUGGAUGGGUGAUGGAUGGAAGGCUGGAAAAGAGACAAAGACCAGCUUCUGGAGGGCCCCGAGUGUCAGGCUGAGGAAAGUGAGGAUUACAUGGAGUGUCCUAGGAACCACUGAAGAGUUCGAUAGGGAGAGAUUUUUCAGUGCUAAGAAAAUCCCCUUUAGCCUGAUGGUAGGGAAAUUUGGAGAUGGGAUGUCCAGAGCAGAUGGGCUAGGGAGAGAAGAGGCCUGAGACAGAGAGCAGGAACACUUGGAGAAGACUGACCAGACGUGGGUGGUGAGGUGCGGGAGGAGACACCAAGGAUAUGUCAGCUGAAUGAUCAGCAUUUGAAUUAAUAUCUCCUAUGGCCGACAUGGCUCUUCAUUCAGAUUUUACAUCUUACAGAUACAUUAGCUUUCAAACAUGUGAGCCUGGGAUGGCCACUCCGCUCAGGAUGAUCCCUUUCCUGUCUGGACCUUAUUGAAGUUGGUCUACGUUUUUGCUCUAUACAUUGGAACCAGCUUCACGCUUCAGGAUGGCCACCCUUGCCACCUGCUCCCAACGUUACCAUAUUGGUCUGGAUAAUGCUUUCUCCUUUGAUGUCCAUGAUAAUAACAACUUACCCUCUUAAUUUCAGUGAUUAAGAUAAACAGUUUCUUUCUCCCUCACCUAAUAAUUCAGGGUGGGUUUUCCCUGUGAGUGAGUAGGUUCCAUCUUGUCAAUCUUCCUUCUUGUCAAUCUUCUGACUUGUGGAUCUUCCAUCUUGUGAAUCUUCCAUCUUGUGAAUCUUCCGUCUUGUGAAUCUUCUGUCUUCUAUCUUCCAUUUUGUGAAUCUUCUAUCUUGUGGAUCUUCCAUGUCAUGAGUCUUCUAUCUUGUGGAUCUUCCGUCUUGUGGAUCUGCCAACCUCAAGGGCCUUAGAGUCUUCUGUACUUAGCCAGAAGGUGGACAAAUGAUGGAGGAGGUACAGCUGAUUCUUACCUUCUGUCAUCUGGAAGUGUCACAUUCCUGGUGGAUUUUAGCACCCCCAUACUCACCUGGACUUUAGCUGCUAGUUGGGGAGCUGUUUCUCAUGUCAUCUCCAUACCAUGGAGGGACAAGCAUGGAUUUGGUUCAGCCUAGCCACCCACUGGAGGACCACUUCCAUCCCUAACCAUGAGCCUAUUAGGGCUACAUAGCAAGUACCUUUCAAAAGUGCCUAUUAGCCACAGGACACCAUGAAAGAUGAUAGAGGAGGGACAAAAAUGUGUGAAGAACUGUAUGUACUAGGUCGAACCAUGUGGAGUUGCUAUUUCGUAGAUCAAAACCAGCCAAAUGUGGGUGAUUUUAUAUGAUUCAGCCUCAUUCUAUAUUAGGGAAAUGCUUUCAAAACAGUUUUUCUUAGCACUACAGCUCAUAAUUUUGUGAGAAUAGUGCAUACUCUCUAGUCUUUUGGGAGAGUCAAAUGCAUUUUAGCAGUUAUGAGCUUUGAAAGGUUCUAUAUUCAAGAAAAUCCUGUGUUAUUUAGUUUCUUUAAUCAGUGAUUUCCUAAGUAAUCAUCAUUUAAUCAGUGAUUUCCAGGCUAAUUUGUGCACAGAAAUUAUUUUCCCCAAAUGCCUGUUCGACUUUCAUAGGAUUAGUCUUCUACCUUAGACACUCUGGGGAACUUUUCAUGGAACACUAAAGGGAAUACAUUAGUAAAUCUUUUUAUACAGCAGGAGAAAAUAAAGAAUAAAAGUUUUUUUACUGCAAAAGUCCAUUGCAGGCACAUUGGUGAACAUGAUAAACAUUUGUUGAAGGAGUAAGUGACUUUGAACUAGUUAAAUUUCUCAGAGACUUAACUCUUUCAUCUGCAAAAUCAAGAUGAGCAAUGAAAUGAGCAGACCCAGGAGGAGAUCUUGGGAAGGGGCUGCCUCUGGCAUGGACUUCUUCUUUUCAUUAGUACCCCUAAGACUGAGGGAGGCAGCCUCUCACCUGUGGGACUGCUCUGGCCCUGAUGUGUGAACAUGUCUAACCUCAGCUUCUUGGGGGUCACACAGAUAUUUAGGUCUGAUAGAAUUAUUUUUAUUUUCUUCAAGAAAGAAGAAAAUAAAGAGUAACAUCCCUGUGUUGACACCAAAUGGACUCCUUGUGGUGCUGGGCCAGAGGUGGGGCUGGGGUGUGGGGUGAGUAAGCCACCAGGAAGACGAGUCCAUGUGGAACCACUUUUCCAUGGUCUAAUCUGGGAAACGGAACGCUGUGAGCUUGGACUAAAGUUAUGGCUUUGGUUAGAGGAUUGAUUCAGUGGGGCCAGCAUGGCCUCUGGCGGGGCCAUAGCCACAUGUGUCCUCCCCCCUGGCCUGACCCCCCUCUGGCAGUCACAUCUCCAGGUCUGGCAGAACCCCCAGAACAGAUCUUUCUUCUGGCCCCCAGCAAGGCUGUUCACUGCCUUCCAAACAUGUGCAGCUGGCUUGGCCAUCUGGGCCUGAGGCCCUCUGGGAGGUGGCCUCGAACGAUGAUCUUCCUCUACCCUAUGUGAUUGUGUGGCUUCCAGCUGAGCCUGCUUACCUGAUCCUCCUGCAGGACCCUACUCCCUGGGCUCUUUCCAACCCUGAGAGGGAGGAGCAAAGAGGGCUGGAGAAUGGAUAGUACAACCAUUUCCCAUGUUGCUGCAUGCCUGGUGCCUUAUGCAGGUCCUCCUUCUAGUAGGUGAGUUGGCUUCCACAGCCAGAAAGACUAGUUUGAAUAUUGGCUUGGCCACUUGGGAGCCAUGUAUCCUUGCACAGAUUCUCUAACCUAUUUGAUUCUCAGCUUGGGCAAUUAUUGUUUUAUUUGUCACUCAACUCUCAUUUGUCAUACAUUCAUGGAGGGCAUUAUUCUACAUGCCAGAUGCUGGCAGUACAUGCUGGCAGUACAAAGAUAAACUACAACUGGUCCCUGCCUCAAGCAGGUAAUGUUCUCUAGACAAAAAAAGAAUGUGAAUUUGCCAAGGCCCGGACUAGGCACCCAGAAUAUGGUGAACUGGAAAUAAAUGGGGCUUUAAGUUCAGGCAUAGUACUUGAAUCCCUGAUACCAAAUUGCUGUGUGAUUUUGGGCAAAGUGCUUGUACUUUAUGGUUCUUAGCUCCCCCAUCUGUACAAUGAGGAGGCUUAACUAGAAGAUUUUUUGCUUUAUAUAUUCUAUGAUUGUGUAAAGUUACCAAUUUAGAAAUUAAAAAGAAAAAUGUGUAAAUUGAAUUGGUCAUUUGCAUAGUGUAGUUAAAUCAAAUGUGUCCUGUGGUUUUUAUAAUUCUAUCUUGUGGAUUUCAUGUGGAAGCAUCUCAGGUAGGAGGCAGAAUCUCAGUGAAUGUCUAUUGAAUGAAUGAGCAAGUUUUCACCCUAUUCCAGAGGUGGCGAACCUAUGGCAUGUGUGCUGCAGUGGGCUGUUUGUAUCACUGAAAGCUCUAAAAGGUUCACCAUCAUUGUCUGGUGUUUUGUAACUUGGGCUCCAAAGAGAGCAGUAUAUUUUCCUCUGUUGAAAGUGCAGUAUAAUGGCAAAUGGAAAGAACUUUAGAACCACACACAGGCUUGAGACAUGAGUUGCAUAGUAUGGACCCUGAUCCUUACUAACAAUACAUCUCUGAGCAAGUUGUGGCACAUCGUGGACCCUUGGCACCUCAAGUUCCUCAUGUGCAAAUUGUCCUGCUGCCUUGCUGGGUUCCAAGGCAAUCCAAAGAAUUUGCAGCCAUUCCAUGGCUCUCUAAGCUCUAAAAUGCCCUCUACACAUAAAGGGUGUUAUUGGCACCAGCAUGCUGGUAAAGAGCCAUGUAGCUGUUGACAUCUUCCACUUGGCACUGGGCUGGAGGAAGGUCAGAUGGUUCUACCCUCCUGCAUGUGAACUCCUGGGAUUUCAUAUGCUGGGAACAUCAUCAAGAGGCACCAGGUGAUCCCUUUUGUCCCCAGGGGAGCAUGGACAUUAUUGAAACAUUCACAAAACACAGUGAGGCUUCUGGAACAUCCUAAAGCAACAUUAUUUUUUGUCUUAGUUUGCACAUUAUCCCUACACAUAUAACCUCAUUUAUUUAAUCUUUCCAAUCCUUGAGAUUCCAGUCUUUCUAAUCCCUAGGAUUAGUGUUAUAUGUAUUUUAUAUAUGAGGAAAAUGAAGCCUAGAGAGGUGUAGAAGUGUGCAAAGAGCCACAGAGGUAGUUAGGGGCAGAGAAACACAUGCUUUCUGCCUUUAGGUCUGAUACCCUCUCCAUUCCUGUACUUUCAUGAUAAUACCCAAUGUCCAUGUCUGAUACCUUUUGCUUUCCCCAGGUAACUUAGCCCUAGCUGGGAACAUAGCAGGCAUUCAAUAGAUAUUAGAAUCAUGGAAUCACAGAAUGCAAAUCUUAGAAUCAGCUAGACCUGUGUUCACAUCCUGCUCAGCCACUUACUAGCUCUGUGACCUGGGGUAAGAAAUUCCUAUUUUGCUAUGUGCUCAUUUGUCAAGUGGUAAGAGGACUUCUUGCUGGGGCUGCGGUGAACAACAGUGGAGGAGAGCACUAAGGGUGCUAAAUGCUCAGCCUGGCCCACAUUAGGCACCCAAUAAACAUGGGAAUCUCUGGCUCACAUGAGCUCUCAAAACUGGUCACAAAAGCCUUUAAUUUGAGUGGAAUGAGUGGAGGGCGAUUGUGAAAAUGCAGUUCUCUUAUUGCAUUCUACCAUCCUCAC